rnacentral:rRNA from 1 species
AGUGAACGCUGGCGGUAGGCCUAACACAUGCCAGUCGAACGGCAGCACAGUAAGAGCUUGCUCUUACGGGUGGCGAGUGGCGGACGGGUGAGGAAUACAUCGGAAUCUACUUUUUCGUGGGGGAUAACGUAGGGAAACUUACGCUAAUACCGCAUACGACCUACGGGUGAAAGCAGGGGAUCUUCGGACCUUGCGCGAUUGAAUGAGCCGAUGUCGGAUUAGCUAGUUGGCGGGGUAAAGGCCCACCAAGGCGACGAUCCGUAGCUGGUCUGAGAGGAUGAUCGGCCACACGGGAACUGGGACACGGUCCAGACGCCUACGGGAGGCAGCAGUGGGGAAUAUUGGACAAUGGGCGCAAGCCUGAUCCAGCCAUACCGCGUGGGUGAAGAAGGCCUUCGGGUUGUAAAGCCCUUUUGUUGGGAAAGAAAAGCAGCAGGUUAAUACCCCGCUGUUCUGACGGUACCCAAAGAAUAAGCACCGGCUAACUUCGUG